UGACCUUAUAAUUAAGCAAAGUCUCAACACGCGACUCCGUCUUGGUCUAAUGUUUCAAAUCUUAAGAGCACGAGAAAGUAAUGAUUUCAACAAAGCUGCAAGCCUCACUCAACUUCUUCGUGAAUUGGUGGCAAAACCAAACAAUCAGUAGCGAGAGCUUUGGUGGAUUAAUCUUUUCUGUGCUUGAGUUUAAGUUUGCUGUUUCAUUGAUUUGGGUUGCUUUGGAGAAUGAACAUUCCAUUACAACUUGUGCACUUUGCUUUAUUUUAUUUAUCUACUGCACUUUGCUUUCUUAACUAGUCGGUUUGUUUAACAUUUAUAAAUUCGAGAAGCUUAAUACAAAUUUACUUAUGGCAUGUUUAAUCGGGGGAUGGAAUGACCAUUCCCCCUA